rnacentral:rRNA from 1 species
UACGAAGGGGGCUAGCGUUGUUCGGAAUCACUGGGCGUAAAGCGCACGUAGGCGGGCCGUUAAGUCAGAGGUGAAAUCCUGGAGCUCAACUCCAGAACUGCCUUUGAUACUGAAAGUCUUGAGUAUGGGAGAGGUGAGUGGAACUGCGAGUGUAGAGGUGAAAUUCGUAGAUAUUCGCAAGAACACCAGUGGCGAAGGCGGCUCACUGGCCCAUAACUGACGCUGAGGCACGAAAGCGUGGGGAGCGAACAGG